rnacentral:rRNA from 1 species
UACGUAGGGGGCAAGCGUUGUCCGGAAUCAUUGGGCGUAAAGCGAGUGUAGGCGGUCCGAUAAGUCGGGUGUGAAAGCCCCUGGGCUCAACCCAGGAAGUGCACUCGAAACUGACGGGCUAGAGUAUCGGAGAGGUUGGUGGAAUUCUCGGUGUAGAGGUGAAAUUCGUAGAUAUCGAGAGGAACACCGGUGGCGAAGGCGGCCAACUGGACGAAUACUGACGCUGAGACUCGAAAGCGUGGGAGCAAACAGG